UACAGAGGUCUCAAGCGUUGUUCGGAUUCAUUGGGCGUAAAGGGUGCGUAGGCGGCGCGGUAAGUCGGGUGUGAAAUCUCGGGAGCUUAACUCCGAAACUGCAUUCGAUACUGCCGUGCUUGAGGACUGGAGAGGAGACUGGAAUUUACGGUGUAGCGGUGAAAUGCGUAGAUAUCGUAAGGAAGACCAGUGGCGAAGGCGGGGUCUCUG
rnacentral:rRNA from 1 species